CGCCAGGCCCCGGCCCGUGGGCUCCGAGCGACGUCGGGCUGCUCGCCCUGCCCGUUGCCCUCCUCGGGAGGUCCCCUGCACCCCGGGUGCCCCCUCGCCCUGGGGUGCCCCAUGCAGGAGGCCUGGAGGGGGAGAAGGAGGGUUUGCAGCCCCAUUGCUGCCGGGCUGAGUUGGGAUGCUUCCUGCACGGGGAGAAGGGGCACAGUGUGGGCUGGGGGUGCAGCGUGUCCCCUCUCUGCCUGCCCCCCCAGGAGACGCGGGCCUUCCUGCAGCAGCUGCAGGGCUUCUUCGAGACCUACGUUGCCUGGGCCAAGAGCAGCGUGAGUGAGGAGGGGAGGAGGGCUGGGGGGACAGGCUGGGGAGGCUCCGGGGGGGGGCGCGGGGGCCUGGUCCCCAGCUCACGAGAGAGGUGGCUCGUUGCAAGCCUGUGGCUCGGACCCUGGACAGCGUGGAGGCCAUGGCCUGCGACUACAUCCUGGACUCUUUGGUGAGGGGGGCACUUGCCCAUCUCCUCCGUGCAGGGUGCAGGGGGUGGCACCCAGGUCCCCUUGUCACCCUCGUGUGCAGGGCGAGGGGUACUGGGCAGGCAGGGCGCAGCGUUGCCUUGGCCCUGACGGCUCUACCUUAUGCCCAGAACACCUUCUGGUUCAGCCUGGGCUGGUGCACCUUCCUCCUGCUGCCUGGCCUCAUCCUCGCUGUGCGACUCGCCAAGUUUUACCGCCGGAUGGACAUCGCUGACGUCUACGAGAGCGAAGUCUUAGAGAUGGCACCUGCACUGAACUCGUUCCAAAUUCCCCGGGUGGCUGCAAGGAAGUAGCACCCACUGCCUGCAGCGUGGGCACGAAGGAGAUUGGGUGGCCCAGGCUGGCUGCAUGUGACUGCUCUGUCUGCUGCGCCGUCUCCCCUGGGUGCUGGGGAGCAGGCUGGGACCCCCCCAGCUGAAACCCCCUCCCCAUUUCCCGGUAGGUGACAGCGUGCUGUGGCUGGGUGACAGGCUGGUGGCCCGUGCUGGGGCUCCCACAGCAUCAUGUGGCGUGCGCAAGUGCAAUGCCCAGGUGCGUGCACGGCGGGGGUCUGCCCCUUGUGCUGCCCCAGGUGGGUUUUCACACCCCCUGUCACCGCCCUGGGGGGGGAGGAGGAAGAAGCCUCUCUCUCCCACCAUGUCUUGUCCUAGCCACACAGUGUCAUGUGUGCGGAUGUGCUGUGCUGGGACAGCAGCCCUCAUUGCCAGCUUCCCGCUGGGCCAUGCAGGCCCAGGGUGGCACGUGCCACCAGCCAACGGCAACCUGCUUACUCAGGCCCCUUGCUCUACAGGCAAUAUGACUAUUUAUUUUUGAACGGAGCAUGACUCUGUCCAAUGCUGUGAUUUUUUUGGUGUCAAAAAAUAAAUGAUGUGUGUGUGUGUGUGCA
rnacentral:lncRNA from 1 species